rnacentral:rRNA from 1 species
AUCUGGCUGGUCUCCAGUCCGAGUUGUAGUUUAAAGAGGCGUUUUCGGCGGCAGGCUGGGUACAAAUCCUUUGGAACAGGGUAUCAUAGAGGGUGAGAAUCCCGUCUCUGACUCAGUGCUUGUUGCUUUGUGUUACGUCUUCAAAGAGUCGAGUUGUUUGGGAAUGCAGCUCAAAAUGGGUGGUAAAUCUCAUCUAAGGCUAAAUACAGGCGAGAGACCGAUAGCGAACAAGUACCGUGAGGGAAAGAUGAAAAGAACUUUGAAAAGAGAGUUAAACAGUGCGUGAAAUUGUUGAAAGGGAAACGUUUGACACCAGUCAUGCGGGUGGGAAAUCAAUCAUGUGCAGUUGAGAGUGGUAAGGGUUUUGGACCGCAAGGCCGGCCUUUGUCCUCAUCUUGGCUGUUGGUGAUGCACUUUUUCAUCUGCAGGUCAACAUCAGUUUCCUCCGCUGGACAAAACUCUGAGAGAAUGUGGCAGCUCAGGCUGUGUUAUAGCUCUGGGGCGAUACAGUGGCGGGGACUGAGGUUUCGCAGUGUGUGCUUUCGGGCAAGGCUGACUGGGUGCUAUGGAGUGGUUCAGCGUACAAUGCUUGCAUUUUGCGCGGUGUCCGUUCUAUACUCGCCUAUCUUGGCUCUUCCACGCUUAGGAUGUUGACGUAAUGGUUUUAAACGACCCGUCUUGAAACACGGACCAAGGAGUCUAACAUAUGUGCGAGUGUUUGGGUGGCAAACCCAUACGCGUAAUGAAAGUGAAAGUAGGUGCGAUCCGUAANGUGCAGCAUCGACCGAUCUUGAUAUUUUUGGAUAGAUUUGAGUAAGAGCACACAUGCUGGGACCCGAAAGAUGGUGAACUAUGCCUGAAUAGGGUGAAGCCAGANGAAACUCUGGUGGANGCUCGUANCGAUUCUGACGUGCAAAUCGAUCGUCAAAUUUGGGUAUAGGG